rnacentral:rRNA from 1 species
GAGUGUUGGGUUAAGUCCCGUAACGAGCGCAACCUUGUCCUUAGUUACCAGCACGUUAUGGUGGGCACUCUAAGGAGACUGCCGGUGACAACCGGAGGAAGGUGGGGAUGACGUCAAGUCAUCAUGGCCCUUACGGCCUGGGCUACACACGUGCUACAAUGGUCGGUACAAAGGGUUGCCAAGCCGCGAGGUGGAGCUAAUCCCAUAAAACCGAUCGUAGUCCGGAUCGCAGUCUGCAACUCGACUGCGUGAAGUCGGAAUCGCUAGUAAUCGUGAAUCAGAAUGUCACGGUGAAUACGUUCCCGGGCCUU